GAAAGUUUUGCAUUUGCAUUACUGAUGUGCGGGCCGCCCCCUAACCCGCGGUUCGGGUUGGGGCAGGUCAAAGAAUUUUCGCUUCACUGCGGGGCGGGUUGGUGUGGUUUACUAUUCUGAAAUAUCUAGUU